CCUACGGGCGGCAGCAGUGAGGAAUAUUGGUCAAUGGACGAGAGUCUGAACCAGCCAAGUAGCGUGAAGGAUGACUGCCCUAUGGGUUGUAAACUUCUUUUAUAAAGGAAUAAAGUGAGGCACGUGUGCCUUUUUGUAUGUACUUUAUGAAUAAGGAUCGGCUAACUCCGUGCCAGCAGCCGCGGUAAUACGGAGGAUCCGAGCGUUAUCCGGAUUUAUUGGGUUUAAAGGGAGCGUAGAUGGGUUGUUAAGUCAGUGGUGAAAGUUUGCGGCUCAACCGUAAAAUUGCAAUUGAUACUGGCAGUCUUGAGUAUAGUUGCGGUAGGCGGAAUGUGUGGUGUAGCGGUGAAAUGCUUAGAUAUCACGCAGAACUCCGAUUGCGAAGGCAGCUUACUAAACUGUAACUGACAUUGAUGCUCGAAAGUGUGGGUAUCAAACAGGAUUAGAUACCCGAGUAGUC
rnacentral:rRNA from 1 species